rnacentral:rRNA from 1 species
GAUGAACGCUGGCGGCGUGCCUAAUACAUACAAGUCGAGCGAACAGAUGAGGAGCUUGCUCCUCUGACGUUAGCGGCGGACGGGUGAGUAACACGUGGAUAACCUACCUAUAAGACUGGGAUAACUUCGGGAAACCGGGGCUAAUACCGGAUAAUAUAUUGAACCGCAUGGUUCAAUAGUGAAAGACGGUUUUGCUGUCACUUAUAGAUGGAUCCGCGCCGCAUUAGCUAGUUGGUAAGGUAACGGCUUACCAAGGCAACGAUGCGUAGCCGACCUGAGAGGGUGAUCGGCCACACUGGAACUGAGACACGGUCCAGACUCCUACGGGAGGCAGCAGUAGGGAAUCUUCCGCAAUGGGCGAAAGCCUGACGGAGCAACGCCGCGUGAGUGAUGAAGGUCUUCGGAUCGUAAAACUCUGUUAUUAGGGAAGAACAAAUGUGUAAGUAACUAUGCACGUCUUGACGGUACCUAAUCAGAAAGCCACGGCUAACUACGUG